AGUCGCGUCGGGCCUCCCGAGGGGGCUGCGAGUGUCAGUCGGCUCUCCGCACGUGUCCGCGGCCUCGCGGAGCAGUCCACCCCUGGCUGGUUUCUGCUUCCACCUGCUGAUCUCACAGAGCACUGCAAGCUAUUUGGCAUAUGAAGGUCUUGACCUGAGAAAACCAUCUUGGAUAACUGCAGCAAGGAAAAGGAAAAAUGCAACACCUAGGAGAUUUCAGUAAACAGUAGAAUCAUGCCAACCUAAUCUGUGUUAAAAUGCUUGGAAUGUGGGAGCCGCUGAUGAUGCCUCUUGUCUGUGUGUCUGACUGAAUCCUUUCUUUUCUCAGAGCAGCAAAGCAAAGCCUGGGAACCAGGCCAAAUGCCUGCCACUUACCUUAAAUUGAUCAGCCACUUUGAGAUUAAAAC
rnacentral:ncRNA from 2 species